ensembl:lncRNA
GGAAAGUCCCGGGGUAAGAAACCAAGGCAUAUAGACUUCAAAUGGAGCUUCGUUUCCUUACCAUAUGAUGCUCAAUUUCAGACAAAUGAAAGAGGACCACCCUGUCUUCCUGCCUCCCGGAUCAGGCUCUGCUCUCUUGUCCACUACCACAGGCUCAGUGUUACCCACAGCAGUUCUUCCCUCUUUGUGAAGAUGUGCUCUGCUAAAGGUGUGUACAGCUCCCUAGAAAUCCAGGGUCCACAUGCUUGUCUAUCUUACCAUCUAAAUACCCUGGCAGUGACAGCUCAGACUUUUGAGACUGUGGUGUUCAGUAGACAUUUACAUCAAGAACAGGAAUCUGGUGACCACAUAAGCAAGUGAUGAGAUAGAAUGUUCAAUGGACAACUGUGCCAGCUUUCAUGAGAGAUCGGCAGCAGUACUUCAUCCCCAAAAACAGUUGAUCAAAAAUGAAUGUACUGUCAAAAAAAGCUGACAAGAAUAAGGCAUGAUUGUGAAGUGAAGGAUAUUCUUCUCUGCAAGGAUGGGAAGGUGAUGCAUGAACUCAGUGCCGUGUGAGGACACCUCAGUAGUCACUGCUGCUACAGGUCAUCAACAAAGAACAGCCCCUUUUCAAAGUGAUAGAUCUACUGAAAUCAGGCAAGACUAUUUGAAAUAAAUAACUAAACAAAGC